rnacentral:rRNA from 1 species
CCUACGGGGUGCAGCAGUGGGGAAUAUUGCACAAUGGGGGAAACCCUGAUGCAGCGACGCCGCGUGAGUGAAGAAGUAAUUCGUUACGUAAAGCUCUAUCAGCAGGGAAGAAACACUGACCUUACGGUCAGCAUACGGUACCUGAAGAAAAAGCAUCGGCUAACUCCGUGCCAGCAGCCGCGGUAAUACGGAGGAUGCGAGCGUUAUCCGGAUUUAUUGGGUUUAAAGGGUGCGUAGGCGGAAUAUCAAGUCAGCGGUAAAAAUUCGGGGCGAAACCCCGUCGUGCCGUUGAAACUGAUGUUCUUGAGUGGGCGAGAAGUAUGCGGAAUGCGUGGUGUAGCGGUGAAAUGCAUAGAUAUCACGAAGAACUCCGAUUGCGAAGGCAGCAUACCGGCGCCCAACUGACGCUGAAGCACGAAAGCGUGGGUAUCGAACAGGAUUAGAUACCCUUGUAGUC